CAGGGACCACCAGGCCCAGCACAUAGGGGGCGCUCAACCCUGAGCAGAGGAAAGACGGAAUCUUGCGUUUUUCUCAAUAGAUGGGAAGUUCCUCUGUCACCUUGUUGCAUGGACCACGUUGCAUCUGGCAGGCUUCCUGAAACACGAACCUACUUCUCCAUGUAUGUUGUCGUGUGUUCCUGUAAGCACCCUGAGUUUGUGUCCUGGAGUGUGGCUGUGUCCAGGAGCUCCUGGCUCUAUGCCCUCCUCAACUUCACUCCCUGCUGCCUGAGUGAGCCGACACCUGCUCCCUGAGCACUGGACCCCCUCCUCCCACCUGGCAAGGACAAGGAAGGACACGGAGACAGAGGCAGACAUAGAGGCAGAGACAGAGAGACUUGGAAGAGGACGCAGAGAGCCAAGCAGGCUGCAGAGGUGGUGACCCAGAGUCAUGUGAUCAGCCUCAGAGCCCAAAACCCAGAAGAGAGAAACAGAGAUCCAAGAUUCAGACAUUAGAGAGACCCAGAGUCACACAGAGACCCAGAGCACCAAGUCCGGAACUGCUGAAACAGACCAGAGAUCAAGGAUGUGGCUCCCCAGCCUCCCUCCCUCUCUCCCUCCCUUCCUCCCACUCUAGAGUUUCCAGCCCCAGCUGUGCCUCCUCCACACACCCAAAGCAGAAUUCUCUUGGCCCUGGGAGUUUGUGCCCUAGGACUGGAACCCAGCCUCCUCCUCGCAGCAGCUGGCUGUGUGUGUGUGCGUACAUGUGUGCGUGUGCACAUGCACGCAAGUGCUCCAGUGUGCAUGUGCUACCAUCUGUGUGCUAUUCUUGGCCAGUGCCUACAAUGGCACUCAGCCCUCCCAGGGCCAUGGGCAUACAACUGACAUAAACACACACACACACACACCUCUUAAGGAACAUACAGGAGCACAGGCACAGAGAGGGCAGAUACAACCACACGCUGAAACCCAGAUACACAAAGGCACAGGCACACACACACCUCCCCCCUCAUGCACACACACUGUUGUCCGCAUUUUCACUGGCCCAGAUCAUGUACACCUUUAUACACAUGUCACACAGUCAGCCACACUCAUUCACACCCGGAAACAUGCCCUCAGUCUCCCUCUCUCUACACAUCUAUACACAGGGCCAGGUGAUCCACC
ensembl:lncRNA